GACGAACGCUGGCGGCGUGCUUAACACAUGCAAGUCGAACGGUGAAGCGCCUUCCUUUUUGGUGGGUGUGGAUGAGUGGCGAACGGGUGAGUAACACGUGAGUAACCUGCCCCCUUCUUCUGGAUAACCGCAUGAAAGUGUGGCUAAUACGGGAUAUUCUGGGUCUGUCGCAUGAUGGGUCUGGGAAAGAUAUUGUUUCGGUGGGGGAUGGGCUCGCGGCCUAUCAGCUUGUUGGUGGGGUGAUGGCCUACCAAGGCGGUGACGGGUAGCCGGCCUGAGAGGGUGGACGGUCACACUGGGACUGAGACACGGCCCAGACUCCGACGGGAGGCAGCAGGGGGGAAUAUUGCACAAUGGGCGCAAGCCUGAUGCAGCGACGCCGCGUGAGGGAUGGAGGCCGUCGGGUUGUGAACCUCUUUCGCCAGUGAAGCAGGCCUGCCUCGUUUGUGGGUGGGUUGACGGUAGCUGGAUAAGAAGCGCCGGCUAACUACGUG
rnacentral:rRNA from 1 species